UAUAUUUCACACAAAAAUAGAUAAUAUGAUUUUGUGAUUUCUUAUAUUCAUGAUUUUAGAUUACUACUCCAGACCUCUUUGAUUUGAUUAAGUCUUUCUCAUUAAUAUUGCAUUCCAAAUCCUUAAAAUCGUUCUUGGAUAGUGAAUUACAAGAGGUAUAUAUACACAUAAAGAGGCUGAUAAUAGUGAAUCAUUCUCUUCUGCUGUUGCUGCUUCUUCUGGUUUGAGCUAGAAUUACAAGAGGUUCGACCCAAGGAAUUCUGUGUUGGAGUGGUCCAUUCUACUUAUUGACAACUCGAACCGAAGUGGAUCAAUGGAGUUUGUUGUUCCCCCAACAGACUCAUCUGUAUUUUUCCCAAUUUCUGUGAACUUCUCUGCUACCAAUACAUUCAGUGACUUGAAGG